AACGAACGCUGGCGGCAUGCCUAACACAUGCAAGUCGAACGAGACCUUCGGGUCUAGUGGCGCACGGGUGCGUAACGCGUGGGAACCUGCCCUUAGGUUCGGAAUAACUCCCCGAAAGGGGUGCUAAUACCGGAUAAUGUCUUCGGACCAAAGAUUUAUCGCCUUUGGAUGGGCCCGCGUUGGAUUAGCUAGUUGGUAGGGUAAAGGCCUACCAAGGCGACGAUCCAUAGCUGGUCUGAGAGGAUGAUCAGCCACACUGGGACUGAGACACGGCCCAGACUCCUACGGGAGGCAGCAGUGGGGAAUAUUGGACAAUGGGCGAAAGCCUGAUCCAGCAAUGCCGCGUGAUUGAUGAAGGCCUUAGGGUUGUAAAGCUCUUUUACCCGGGAUGAUAAUGACAGGACCGGGAGAAUAAGCUCCGGCUAACUCCGU
rnacentral:rRNA from 1 species